UACGAAGGGGCUAGCGUUGCUCGGAAUCACUGGGCGUAAAGGGUGCGUAGGCGGGUUUUUAAGUCAGAGGUGAAAUCCUGGAGCUCAGCUCCAGAACUGCCUUUGAUACUGGGAAUCUUGAGUAUGGAAGAGGUGAGUGGAACUGCGAGUGUAGAGGUGAAAUUCGUAGAUAUUCGCAAGAACACCAGUGGCGAAGGCGGCUCACUGGUCUAUAACUGACGCUGAGGCACGAAAGCGUGGGGAGCAAACAGG
rnacentral:rRNA from 1 species